rnacentral:rRNA from 1 species
UACGGGGGGAGCAAGCGUUGUUCGGAUUUACUGGGCGUAAAGGGCGCGUAGGCGGCCACCGCAAGUCAGUUGUGAAAUCUCUGGGCUUAACCCAGAAAGGUCAACUGAUACUGCGGGGCUAGAGUGCAGAAGGGGCAACUGGAAUUCUCGGUGUAGCGGUGAAAUGCGUAGAUAUUGAGAGGAACACCUGCGGCGAAGGCGGGUUGCUGGGCUGACACUGACGCUGAGGCGCGAAAGCUAGGGGAGCGAACGGG